rnacentral:rRNA from 1 species
CCUACGUGUGGCAGCAGUGGGGAAUAUUGCGCAAUGGGCGAAAGCCUGACGCAGCGACGCCGCGUGAGGGAUGAAGGUCUUCGGAUCGUAAACCUCUGUCAGCAGGGAAGAACGGUCACUGUGCUAAUCAGCAGUGAAUUGACGGUACCUGCAAAGGAAGCACCGGCUAACUCCGUGCCAGCAGCCGCGGUAAUACGUAGGGUGCGAGCGUUAAUCGGAAUUACUGGGCGUAAAGCGCUCGUAGGCGGUAUGUCAAGUCAAGGGUGAAAUCCCCGCGCUCAACGUGGGAACUGCAUUUGAAACUGGCAAACUGGAGUGUAGGAGAGGAUAGUGGAAUUCCAGGUGUAGGAGUGAAAUCCGUAGAUAUCAGGAGGAACAUCAGUGGCGAAGGCGACUAUCUGGCACAUAACUGACGCUGAGGAGCGAAAGCGUGGGUAGCAAACAGGAUUAGAUACCCGUGUAGUC